rnacentral:rRNA from 1 species
UACGGGGGGGGUAAGCGUUGUUCGGAAUUACUGGGCGUAAAGGGCUCGUAGGCGGCCAACUAAGUCAGACGUGAAAUCCCUCAGCUUAACUGGGGAACUGCGUCUGAUACUGGAUGGCUUGGAUUCGGGAGAGGAAUGCGGAAUUCCAGGUGUAGCGGUGAAAUGCGUAGAGAUCAUGAGGAAGACCAGUGGCGAAGGCGGGUCUCUGGACAGUUCCUGACACUGAGGCACGAAGGCCAGGGGAGCAAACGGG